UACGAAGGGGGCUAGCGUUGCUCGGAAUCACUGGGCGUAAAGCGCACGUAGGCGGCUUUUUAAGUCAGAGGUGAAAGCCUGGAGCUCAACUCCAGAAUUGCCUUUGAGACUGCAUCGCUUGAAUCCAGGAGAGGUGAGUGGAAUUCCGAGUGUAGAGGUGAAAUUCGUAGAUAUUCGGAAGAACACCAGUGGCGAAGGCGGCUCACUGGACUGGUAUUGACGCGUGAGGUGCGAAAGCGUGGGGAGCAAACAGG
rnacentral:rRNA from 1 species